GUUUAGGUCUUACUGGAUAGAGGAAAUAUUUCUCCCUUGUCAAUAUGAAGCAGUAUUUCAACUUGAUUCCUAUGUUUGGUUUGAUUGCUCUAGUCUUUGGUGAACAGCAAUUCAAUCUGGAGUGCUUAAACCGACCCAAUAACAGAACUACUAAGGAAUGCUGCAAGGCACCGAGAGUUAUUCCUCCCAGGGAUCAGUUUGCCAAUUGUCAGCAAAAGUUUCCAGCUAGUCAGCCAACAGUUUUCCACCGAAUCAUAAUUGUUUUGCGCAAUGUAUGUUUGAAGAGCAAGGAAUUAUGAUGGGAGGAUUACUGAGCAAAGAUGCCGCGAUAGGUAAAAUCGUAGCUAUGGCAGGAUCAUCAAGUGAAUUAGGAUCAGUGGCAAAUCACGUAGUUGAAAGUUGCUAUCGGAAAAUAUCCGCAUUGGGAGCACAAAAGGACAACCUUGGAUGCAGCCUGAUGGCCGGUACUUUUUUGGACUGUGUGCCUUCCAUGAUGUUUACGCAUUGCCUUUCUUCGUUUUGGACUGCCGAUGUCGAGUGUGAACAGUUGAAGGCCCAUUUGAAGAAGGGUUGCCCCAUUAUGACUUUAAAGAAACCAGUGACACAUUGAAAUAUGCUAAUUGGGCAAUUACGAGAUGUUUUUAGAUAAGAAUUUUAUACAAAGAAGGUUGCGCUGAAUAAAUGAAUUUAAACGAAUUGUACUUUGUG